AACAGGCCCAAAAUCGGUGCUCGUUUUUCACGCUCUUCAGCUUCCACCAUCAAAAUGCCGAAUGCCAACACCACUAAGAAGCUAAUCAAGAUCUAAAUACAGGAAAAUGCAACAUGGUAUCAAUAAUACCAGGAAAUUGCAUCGCACAGUGCUUUACGCGUAUAUCGAGCAAGUAACUAUCGUGGUCUAAAUCGUUUAGUUCCAACAAAUAACACAUACAUUAUUUUCAAGGUGCAGUACACCAUGGCUAACGUUACGCUACGAGCCUUCAGGCAGCUGCGACAUUAAAUUACAUCCGCCUUUUUGCGGUCUUUCCAUCGUGGUUGGUGGCCUCUUGUCGCUGGUAAAGUUAAUUUGUAAUGAUCGGAACUAUGCUUCUGAUUCGAACAUUCAACGAUGUUUAGCCACAAGUGAAUCAAGUUGAUCCACCACUUGGUAUUUUACUAUCAUUUUUACUAGUUGCAGCUGUUGCGUAUACUCUUGAACUUGAAAUUCCGCAUUGCAAAUGCAGCAGCUAGUUUUUACCCGAUUUCA